GAACCUGAAAGGAUGGAUGACGGAUAGACCCCCUUAUAAUUUAAAAGACAAAGUCUCUGGAAGGAGCCAGAACAGAGGAAGUCUGGACUGGAACGCAGAGAUAUUCCACCCUCCUGUUGUCGCUGGAAGAACCGCCCUUCGCCCAGAGCCUGGGGCAGGAAAAAGAUGGCCUUCUGACCCUGGCUGGUGUCUGGGCCCGCUUUGGGUCGUCCGUCCCUCUUGAGCGCGACGUGCCAGUCGUACUUCUGAGAGCGGUACGUGUUGUAGUGGUUCUCUUCGUAUCGCUCCAGGAAGAAGCACUCGUCGGUGAGCGCUGGCUGCGACAGGAGAGAGUGAAACGUGAGAGGAAGCAUUUGUGUUAUUGCUUAAGUCUUAAGAAAAGAUACUCACUGAUCCAUACAGGUGUCCAUUAUUGUUCAUAGCAAGAUAGCGUCCCGCCUUCUCACCCUUAAUGACGACCACGCCGACACUGACGGCCUUAAGUCUGAGGAUUUCUGCAACGCAGAGACAUGACACAGUGGGAAUAAUGCACAACUCCUUAUAUGGACAUCCUGGCAG